AUUGAACGCUGGCGGCAGGCCUAACACAUGCAAGUCGAGCGAGCGGCGGACGGGUGAGUAAUGCCUGGGAAUUGCCCAGUCGAGGGGGAUAACAGUUGGAAACGACUGCUAAUACCGCAUACGAUUGGAUUGCCCAGGUGGGAUUAGCUAGUUGGUGAGGUAAUGGCUCACCAAGGCGACGAUCCCUAGCUGGUCUGAGAGGUGGAGCCGCAACAUGGGAACUGAGACACGGUCCAGACUCCUACGGGAGGCAGCAGUGGGGAAUAUUGCACAAGGGGGGAAGCCCGAAUGCCGCCAUGCCGCGUAUGUGAGGAAGGCCUUCGGGUUGUAAAGCACUUUCAGCGAGGAGGCGUUACUCGCAGAGGAAGCACCGGCUAACUCCGUGCCAGCAGCCGCGGUAAUUC
rnacentral:rRNA from 1 species